rnacentral:sRNA from 1 species
GGGGAUGUCUUUGGUUUCGACGGGGGUGUGGAAACCGGAGAAGCGAGCCGCAGUUUGCCCAGUCUGCGUUAAAAGGGGCACGUUAAAUAUAAACGCUAAAAAAACAAACAACAAUUUCGCAUUAGCAGCGUAGUUCUGCGCGAACGUCAGCCCGAGUUCACCUGUAGGCCCGGAAUCUGACGUCAAACAUACAGGAAAACUCUAUGUGAGCUCCUGGUAGCAUAGGGGAACAACAGGAUAGCCGAUAUGCGAGCCUGCUUUUGGGCGCGCAUGGAAGCGAACUUUUAAAUCAAAAGCUGCGCUCGGAGAAACUCCCGCGGAAGUGCUUUCGGACGCGAGUUCGAUUCUCGCCAUCUCCACCA